rnacentral:rRNA from 1 species
GAUCAUGGCUCAGAUUAAACGCUGGCGGCAUGCCUUACACAUGCAAGUCGAACGGCAGCACGGGGGCAACCCUGGUGGCGAGUGGCGGACGGGUGAGUAACACAUCGGAACGUGCCCUGGAGUGGGGGAUAACGCAGCGAAAGCUACGCUAAUACCGCAUAUUCUGUGAGCAGGAAAGCAGGGGAUCGCAAGACCUUGCGCUUUGGGAGCGGCCGAUGUCGGAUUAGCUAGUUGGUGGGGUAAAGGCUUACCAAGGCGACGAUCCGUAGCGGGUCUGAGAGGAUGAUCCGCCACACUGGGACUGAGACACGGCCCAGACUCCUACGGGAGGCAGCAGUGGGGAAUAUUGGACAAUGGGGGCAACCCUGAUCCAGCCAUGCCGCGUGUGUGAAGAAGGCCUUCGGGUUGUAAAGCACUUUAAGCGAGGAGGAAGGUUUUUGGUUUAAUACACUAAAGAAUUGGCGUUACUCGCAGAAUAAGCACCGGCUAACUCUGUG